rnacentral:RNase_P_RNA from 1 species
UGAGCCAUCCGGGUGGACGCGGCGGGUGUAUCGGCAUUUCAAGUGUGGCUGACAUCGGGUCGAGGAAAGUCCGGACUCCAUAGAGCGUGGUGGUUGCUAACGGCAACCCAGGGUGACCUGCGGGAUAGUGCCACAGAAAUGAGACCGCCCAGCGAUGGGUAAGGGUGAAACGGUGCGGUAAGAGCGCACCAGCGAUCGAGGUGACUCGGUUGGCUAGGUAAACCCCACUAGGAGCAAGGCAAGAGGGCGUACAUUUGUAUGCCUGUUCGAACGUUUGAGGUUGCUCGCUGAGUUCGAAGGUAUGCUGCUUGAGGCCUUCCAGCAAUGGUUGUGCCCAGAUGGAUGUUCACCUGUGAAACAGAAUCCGGCUUAUAGGGUGGCUCAUUCG